rnacentral:ncRNA from 1 species
GUUUCCUUCAGGAUAGCUAGUACUCAUCUGUAGCCACAGUUUUAUCUGGUAAAGCAAAUGAUUAGAUUUGGGGCCAAAACUAUCUCACCCUAUUUCCAAACUUUAAGUGGGUAAGAAGCCCGGCUCGCUGAUGUGGAGCCAGGAGUGGAGUCUGAGUGCCUAAUAGGCCACUUCUGGUAAGCAGAACUGCUGCUUCUAGAUGAACUGAAUGAUGGGUUAAAUGGUGUGAUGCUGAUGCCCAGCGGACCCAAAAAACAUGCUGGUUGAUAUAGUCAGCAAGACAGUAGCCACAGAAGUUGGAAUCCACUAAGGAGUGUGUAACCACGUAUCUGCUGAAUCAGCUAGCCCUGAAAAUGGAUUCUUUUUUUUUUUAAUAGGACGUCAGGCUAGAUUAUCGCAAUGUCCCCUUCUGGCCUUGGA